rnacentral:rRNA from 1 species
GAUGAACGCUAGCGGAAGGCAUAAUACAUGCAAGUCGAACGGAUGUAGCAAUACAUUAGUGGCGCACGGGUGCGUAACGCGUAUGCAACCUACCUUCAUCAGGGGGAUAACUACCCGAAAGGGUGGCUAACACCGCAUAAUACUAUUGAGUGGCAUCACUUGAUAUUUAAAUCUGAGGAGGAUGAAGAUGGGCAUGCGUCUGAUUAGCUAGUUGGUGUGGUAACGGCGCACCAAGGCGACGAUCAGUAGGGGAACUGAGAGGUUGGUCCCCCACACUGGCACUGAGAUACGGGCCAGACUCCUACGGGAGGCAGCAGUAGGGAAUAUUGGUCAAUGGUGGGAACACUGAACCAGCCAUUCCGCGUGCAGGAAGAAGGGUCUCUGACUUGUAAACUGCUUUAGCAAGGGAAGAAAAAGCUCAUGCGUGAGAAAUUGACGGUACCUUGAGAAUAAGCACCGGCUAACUACGUGCCAGCAGCCGCGGUAACAC